rnacentral:rRNA from 1 species
GGAAUUUUGCGCAAUGGACGAAAGUCUGACGCAGCAACGCCGCGUGGGUGAUGAAGGUCUUCGGACUGUAAAACCCUGUCGUCAGGGACGAAGGUGGCUCGGUUAAUAACCGGGUUACUUGACGGUACCUGGAGAGGAAGCCCCGGCUAACUCUGUGCCAGCAGCCGCGGUAAUACAGAGGGGGCAAGCGUUAUUCGGAAUUAUUGGGCGUAAAGGGCGCGUAGGCGGUUUUUUAAGUCGGAUGUGCAAUCCCCGAGCUCAACUUGGGAACUGCAUCCGAGACUGGGAGACUAGAGUACUGGAGAGGUUGGUGGAAUUCCACGUGUAGCGGUGAAAUGCGUAGAGAUGUGGAGGAACACCAGUGGCGAAGGCGGCCAACUGGACAGUAACUGACGCUGAGGCGCGAAAGUGUGGGGAGCAAACA